AGAACCACUACAAACAAGAGACAGUCCGGAGUCAGCGGAAAGAUAUAUCAGUGAUAUCAAAGAAUCACUACAAACAGGAGACAGUCCGGAAACAACAGAAAGACAAAUCAGUGGUAUCAAAGAUUUGGUUCCAAUUGAAGUUUGGGAUAGAGUCCCAUCUAAGGCUGAAAUAAAGCAAAUCGUCACCAACAUUGACAACAAGUUCUCCAACCUGUUCUUGGAGCUUGGAUUAUCACCUCAGAUCAUAGAGCAGCAUGGGCAAGGUCAUCCUGUCACAUUCCAGGUAAGGAUGAAAGCUCUCCUUCGGUGUUGGAUAGACAGUUCCCAUGCGAAGGCAACUAUAGGCAGUUUGUUGACAGCGAUGAAGCUUUGUCAGAUGGACUGGCAUACAACAGCACAAAUCUGGUCAGCCUGAUUAAUCAGGAAGAUCAAGUGACAGAUGUAUCAAAGUUUGACUCAUCAUUCACUUUUUCAUGUUUGCAUUAACUAUAUUUACAAUAACACAAUGAACAAACAUUAAAUCGACACUGUAAACUCGACAUGCUUGGAAUUAAGAAACAAUGACAAUGUGAUUAUGGGUGUCGAUGUAAAUUAUUUGACAGUUCAGCCAAAUUCAGCGUAUCAGGAUGGUUCAUGUCUUACUGAAAGAGGGAAUAUAUAUCACCUGCAAUAUACAGUGAAUAUUUUGUAUAUACAUAUUUUUGGCAAAGAUAAUCCAUUGCAUGUCGUGCCAUUUAAGGCCGAGUAUACUUUUUUAAUACUUGCGUUGUGUUGAAGAAAAUACGGCAAGACGACAGGUUGCAUCCCAGUCUAUUGACAGAGAACAUGUAUGAUGCCAUGUUAUUGAAAAUUGAGACAACAAUUUAUUAAUAUUAUAGAAUUUUGGUCAAAUAUUUGUAGAUGUGUUUUGUUUGCGUGUCAGUUUUAAUAUAUUCGCUGACAUUUGUUUUACCUUUAAAUUGUUGGUAGACUUAAACAAAAUGUUAGAACUCGUCUACCGUAGGUGUUUUUUGUGUAUGCAUCCACUCAUGUUUGCCAAUUUGAAAUAUAUUUUUAGACUCAUAUUUAGAUUAAACCAUGCAACAAUAAUUUACCGGAAAGUAUGGUGACAUAAUUGCAGGAAUACGUUAACUCAUAGGAUAUCACAAUAGAUAUUUGAUUCUUUUUAACCCAAUAUUUCCUAUGUCAUAUGACUUUCAUUUACACGAAAACCUAUUUUUUAAGCAUAAACGGUAUCCUCUCAUGAAAUAUGUUUUGUUAGGACAACUCCUGUUCUAUAUAUUGUCUAUAAUGACCAUUCAGCCCAAGCAGUUUACUUUCGGUUCUGUUUAUGCAGUACGUAGGACCAUGGUCUAUAAACAGGCUGUUCCUUUAGUAAUAAUAUCAUUUACUUUAAAAUAAAAUAAUAAUUUUACAUUAGAAUUUUCUUUUAUAAAAGAUGCUAAUUUAGUCAAACUGUCGCCAUACAUAAUCAAAGUUUAAAUAUCUUAAAUAUAUAACAUAAAUUUAUCCACCAUAGGUAGUUAAUACUUUUUUAUACUAAAAUAACAGUUACUAUGAGAGGCUUAGGAUUAACAUACAUUACAAACAUUUUGAUGAAGACGAACUGAACUACUGUAUCAUUUUGACUGAUUUGUUUAUGUUACCUUUGUACUUAACCCGUGUUUAAGAUAUAGAACAAAUAAUUGCAAUGCUCUAUUGAUACACUGUUGUGUCAUCUCCAUGUAGCCUGUAGAUUGCUAAAUGAGUGUAUGGUUUGAGUAUAUUAUUUUAAUUGCUUUUAUAUUGAAUGCUUUUUGCAAGGAAAUGACAGAUUUGAUUUAUGGUUUGGGUAUUUCAUUAUUGUUUUUAAAUUGUGUGGUGUUUGUAAGAAAAUGAAAGACAUUUUUUUAGUAUCGUUUGUAACCUUUAAUCCAAAAGAUAAUAUUUCUCGGGUUUUUUACUAUACACUUGAUUAUCUUCUAAUACAGAUAUAUAUAUAUAUAUAUAUAUUCACUAGCAUCGUCAUCAGCAAUUGUUGAUGCAUAACGUAUCCGCAUCAUCAACAUGCUUAUAGAAAGUGAUCAAAUGACUUUGUUAACAAUAUGAACGAUAAACACAUUCAUCGAAUAAUAGACGUUAUAUUGUUUGAACAUAGUUUAGUAUGGAAAAAAAGUAAUACACUAUUUUCCCACAAGAAACAACCGUGUAACGAGAGGGAUUACGUUGAGGCAAUCUGCAGUAAAUCACUUCUCUCGGGCAAUUGCGUUGUCUCAGGGACUAUCUAGUUUCGUUUACGAUAGUGCUUUUUUCGCAAAUAGUCCCUUCUUUCCGUCAGACCAAGCAAGCACGAAAUGCAGAAACUAUGUUCAAAUAUCUUUGAACGCGUGUUCAUAAUUCUCAAUAUAUAUCUAACGAUGUUGUUUUAAAAUCUUGUGUCUAGAUUUGUUGACCUGUGUAUACGAUAUAGAACAAAUUAUUGCAAUGUUCUAUUGAUACAAAAUGUACACUGUAUUGCUAAUCUCCAUGUAGGAUGUAAAUUGCUGUAUGAGUUAGUCUGAGUAUUUAAUUAUUGAGUGUAGAUGGUAUGGUGUUUACUACAAAGUGACAGACAUUUUUUUAUUACCGUAUGUAAACUAUAAUCCAAAUGUUUAUAUUUCUUGUUUCUUUGAUUAUUUACGUGAUUAUCUUCUUAUACAGAUUUUCUUAACCAGAUUUAUAUAUUCACUAGCAUCGUCAUAAGCAAAGGUUGAUGCAUAACGUAACCGUACCAUCAGCAUGCUUAAAGAAACAGGAAAAUAUAGGGACAUAAUUGCAGGAAUCCGCUUACACUUAGGAUAUCAAAAUAGAUAGGGGAUGCAUUUAAACCCAAUAUUUUCAAUGUCAUAUUACCUACCUUUGCAAGAAAACUUAUAUUUAAAGCAUAUACAGUACCCUCUAAAGGGACAUUUUAGUGUUAGGAGAACUCCUGUUCUACAUAUUGUCUUAAACGUGACCGUUUACUUUCGGUUCUGUUUAUGUAUUACGUAAGGGUAUGCUGGAGCGAGAUCAAUGGUCCAGUUGUUUGCUAAGGAAUAUUAUUAUUUACAUUGAAAUGAAAUUUUCUUUUGAAUAAGAAAGCAUGAUAUAAUGAUCUUAUUUAGUCCAGGUUUUGUUAAUUAUUGCCAUACAUAACCAAUAUUUCAAUCGUGUAACAAUAGUAGCAGUUAAUACAUUUGUAUACGAAGCUUAGGAUUAACAUACGUUACACACAGUUUGAUGAUAAAGUACUACUGUAGCAUUUUGACUGAUUUGUUUGUGUUACCUGUGUACUUAUUCUGUGUAUAUGAUACAGAACAAAUAAUUGUAAUGUUCUAUUGAUACACUGUUUUGUCAUCGCCAUGUAGGAUGUAUAUUCAAUUACUGUACAUUGCUGAAUGAUUUUAUUGUUUGUGUAUGUUAUUAUUGCUUUUAGAUUGUAUAGCGUUUGCAAGAAAGUGACAGACAAUCAUUAUUAUUGUUUGUAAACUCUAAUCCAUAGGUUUGUUUUUUCUCGAUAUUUUUUAAAUUAGACAUUUGAUUAUCUUCUUUUACAGAUUUAUAUACUCACUAGGAUCGUUAUCAUGAAAUGUGGAUGCAAAACGUAAUCUUAUCAUCAUCAUUAUAAACAAAGGGAUAAGAUGGCUUUUUAACAAUACGAACGAUCUUCAUCGAAUAGCAGACGUAGUAUUGAUUGAACUAAGUUUAGGAUAGAAAAAGUAAUACAUUUUGUCCACAGACAAUCAUCGUGUAACGAGAGUGAUCAAUUUUUACAUAUCUUGGUUAAGGUAAAGUUCAUUAGAUCACUACUCUGAGACAUUACGUUUGUCUCCGUGACGAUCCAGUUACGUUCACGAAACCGCGUUUUUAUUUACAAAUAGUCCCUUCUCUCCAUCAGACAAAUCAAGCAUGAAAUGCAGAAACCAUGUUCAAUUGUUUUUGAACGGGUGAUUAUAAUUCUUGAUAUAUAUCUAACGAUGUAGUUUUAGAGUCUGGUUUACCUUCCAUUUUGUACGUAGUGUAAAUGUACAAUAUCGCAGCAAAUCAUUGCAAAGUUAUUGUUGCAAUACACUUGAUCCAAAACAGCUGGACAAAUACCAGAACUUUAUCAAUACAUGUGGAUGCGAUGCUUUUUAUAUAAUUACAGUGUAAAGAUCCUGUUCAAACAUACUGUUUUUAUAUACCUAAUACAUGAUUUGAGUUCGGUUUUUUGUGAUUUAUUAAGUUGACAAAGCAACAAAUAUAUAGUGAGCAAAUUAAAUGCAGUUUGGAUUACGACUUAUGACAAACGAAACUGCAUAACAUGAAAUGUUUGCUUUGUAUGAACAUUUGUGCUUUUCAUGGUUGCUAUGGAGCCCCAAAAAUAAAUAUAAUGGAUUUGAUUGAUAUACAUAAGCAUUAAGUGAUCAAAAUGUUUCUAAACUUCGAAAGAAAAUACCCACAAAUUUCAUGUUUUUUAGUUUAUUUUACAAUUAAUAUGUUGAAGUCUAUUCCUCUCUCGAAGAUAGUUGUGACUUCAAUGUGACUUAAUGCUAUGACUACUUACUGAUUUUAGAACAGGUUUAACUAAAUCGAUAAACUGUAUCUCAUUUGUUUAAAAAUAUACUGACACGCAAACAAGAGCCUCAAGUUGAUUCGGGCGCGUCCAAAUGCGUUUAUCUAAUAAUUCAUAUAGUUUGGGAAUGUCUUUGACGUUUUGGCAGAGAUAAUCAAUUGCGCCAUGUGUUGCCAUUUUGCAAACUUAAGUGGUAUUGAAGAACAAACGGAAAGACGACAGGUUGCAUCACAGUGAAUUGAUAAAAAAAGGUAUGAUACCAUGUUAUUCAAAACUGAUAACAACAAUUGAUCAAUUACGAAAUGUUGGUCAAUUUAUGGGAAAUGUGUUGAUUUUGUUUGUCAGUAUAUAUAUCUUCUUACAUUUGUUUUAUCUUUGAACCGUGUUAGGUUUUUACAAAAUGUUAGCAUUCGUCUACUGUACUUUACUUGUAUAUCUAUCCGCUCAUGUUGGCCAACCUGAAAUGUAUUAGGUAGAUUCAUAUUUAGAUUAAUCAAUGCGACAAUAAUCUACAGUAUCGUGACACAAUUAGGGGAAUACUUUAACACAUUUGAUAUUUCAGUAAAAAUUUGAUGUUAUUUAACCCAAUAUUUUCAAUGUCAUAUUAGCUCCUUUGGCAAGAAAACCUAUAUUUAAAACAUAUGCAUUAUCCUCUCAAAGGAUAUUUUAGUGUUAGGACAACUCCCGUUCUAUAUAUUCUCAUAAAAAUGGCUAUUCAAUCCGAGCGGGUUACUUUUGGCUCUGUUUAUGUAAUACUUAAGUAUUUACUGGACCGUGAUCAAUUAUAUUUGGUAUAUAGUGUAAAUGUACAAUUUGAAGCAAACCAUUGGCAAAAUAUUUUAAGAAAAUAAUUUAUCCACAACAGCUGGAUAAAUACCAGAAUUUCAUUAUUACAUGUGUAUGUAUUGCAUUGAAUAUCAUUACAGUGCAAAGAUCCUGUUAAAACAUGUUUUUUUUUAUAUAUAGACCUUAUGUAUGUUUUGAGUUUGUUGUUUGUUGGUGACUUAAUAAGUUGACACAGGAACAAAUAUGUAACGAGCAAAUGCAGUUUAGAAUACGAUUUAUCACAACGCUACCGUAUAACAUGAAAUGUGUGCUGUGUAUGAACAUUCGUGUUUUGCAAGGUUGCUAUGGAGUCUCAAAAAUAUAUACAAUGAAUCUGUUUGAUAUACAUGAGCAUUGAGUAAUCAAAAUGACUUUAAACUACGACAGAAAAAUUCCACCGACAUUUCCUGUUAUACAGUAUGUAAUAUGGAUUACAAUCUGUACCGCUUCGUGAGUUGUAUAUAUCACAUGUUCCUAAAUAUUUCUAAUAUUUUAGUGCCUUCUAUUUUUAGUUUGUUUGAUUUUGGCUUUAAUGUAGAAACGUAGAAUGAACAUGUUACUUAUCAAAGUUUUGCAAUUUUAUACUUUCUGAUAAGCUCUAUAAAAAACACGAGAAUAACGAACGCAAACAAAAGCUACUGAUAUAAUACUUGGUCCGAAUUCGGAAUGAAAUACCGUCUAUGAUUACAAUAUUCCGAACUCAAAAGUUGAUACGGAUAAUAAGACAACUAGACCUGUUUAUCUUUCAAACAAAAAACCAAUUGCCGCUUUUUAAGUAAUUAAGUAAUUGUAAAAGUAAUUGAUUGCUGUACUUUUUCAGACAUGUAUUUAUUUUUACUCAAAGUAUUAUAUUGUGUCUCGAUUUUUCUCGUUUGAAGAGAAAUAUGGUCUCGUUUGAAGAGAAAUAAGAAGUCAUAAAGCUCAACAGCGGUGUUUUUACAAUCACAUGGAAAUGAAUACAUUUCACCACUUGAUCAAUCCAGCACCAAAUGAAUAGGUUACUGUAAACUCGAUCUAAAUCUUUGACAUAUCAUUGUAAAGUUAAAGUUCUUACACAUUGACAGGGACAUCUUUAUAACUAUGCUACCUAACAAAAUCUGCCGUUUUCCAUAUAUAUUAAAUUGAGUUGCUUUUAUACAUUUUGUUAUUAUAUAUCUUGUUCGGACCUUUGUUCCUUAUGUCGUUUGUCCUUUAAUUUUAUAUAUCCAAAAUUAUCUAUGGUCACUAUUAUGUGUAAAUUGAUAAUAUAGCUAUCACAGAAAAUUAUCAUUUUGACAAGCACUUGCUGGAUCAUGAUAUAUAGCAAACAUUUGCUGGAUCAUGAUAUAUAACAAACACUUGCUGGUUCAUGAUAUAUAACAAACACUUGCUGGAUCAUGAUAUAUAACUAACACUUGCUGGUUCAUGAUAUAUAACAAACACUUGCUGGAUCAUGAUAUAUAACAAACACUUGCUGGUUCAUGAUACAUAACAAACACUUGCUGGAUCAUGAUAUAUAACAAACAGUUGCUGGAUUAUGAUAUAUAACAAACACUUGCUGGAUCAUGAUAUAUAACAAACACUUUCUUGAUCAUGAUAUAUAACAACCACUUGCUGGUUCAUGAUAUAAAACAAACAUUUGCUGGACUACGAUGUUUAGGAUUGUUUUGGAUUACACUUUGUAAAACAAUACUUGUUUUUAUACAUUUUUAAUACAGUGUAUGAAAAAUGUUUUCAGAACCUAAACCAACCACUUGCUGUGUUAAUAUUUAUGACCAUGAUUUGGUUUCUAAGUUCCAAACACAUGUUCGUUUAAGAUGUAUGAAAACAAUUGUUGAAUUACGAUGUUUGCCAUUUUAUGAUUUUUUCAAAUAUAUCGGUUUAUCACUUUCUUUGUAUCUCCUAAGACAUUUUGUUUGCUAUCCACUUUACUAAAUAAAUAUAGUGCUUUCUUUU